rnacentral:rRNA from 2 species
ACCUCCCACCCGUGUUUACUGUACCUUAGUUGCUUCGGCGGGCCCGCCAUUCAUGGCCGCCGGGGGCUCUCAGCCCCGGGCCCGCGCCCGCCGGAGACACCACGAACUCUGUCUGAUCUAGUGAAGUCUGAGUUGAUUGUAUCGCAAUCAGUUAAAACUUUCAACAAUGGAUCUCUUGGUUCCGGCAUCGAUGAAGAACGCAGCGAAAUGCGAUAACUAGUGUGAAUUGCAGAAUUCCGUGAAUCAUCGAGUCUUUGAACGCACAUUGCGCCCCCUGGUAUUCCGGGGGGCAUGCCUGUCCGAGCGUCAUUGCUGCCCAUCAAGCACGGCUUGUGUGUUGGGUCGUCGUCCCCUCUCCGGGGGGGACGGGCCCCAAAGGCAGCGGCGGCACCGCGUCCGAUCCUCGAGCGUAUGGGGCUUUGUCACCCGCUCUGUAGGCCCGGCCGGCGCUUGCCGAACGCAAAUCAAUCUUUUUCCAGGUUGACCUCGGAUCAGGUAGGGAUACCCGCUGAACUUAAGCAUAUCAAUAAGCGGAGGAA